UACGUAGGGCGCAAGCGUUGUCCGGAAUUAUUGGGCGUAAAGAGCUCGUAGGCGGCUUGUCACGUCGGGUGUGAAAACCCGGGGCUCAACCCCGGGCCUGCAGUCGAUACGGGCAGACUAGAGUGCGGUAGGGGAGACUGGAAUUCCUGGUGUAGCGGUGAAAUGCGCAGAUAUCAGGAGGAACACCGGUGGCGAAGGCGGGUCUCUGGGCCGUAACUGACGCUGAGGAGCGAAAGCGUGGGGAGCGAACAGG
rnacentral:rRNA from 1 species